UACGGAGGGUGCAAGCGUUAUCCGGAUUCACUGGGUUUAAAGGGUGCGUAGGUGGUCUGUUAAGUCAGCGGUGAAAGCCUGGAGCUCAACUCCAGAACUGCCAUUGAUACUGACGGACUUGAAUCAAGUUGAGGUGGAUGGAAUAUUACAUGUAGCGGUGAAAUGCUUAGAUAUGUAAUAGAACACCAAUUGCGAAGGCAGUUCACUAAGCUUGUAUUGACACUGAGGCACGAAAGCGUGGGGAUCAAACAGG
rnacentral:rRNA from 1 species